rnacentral:rRNA from 1 species
UGGAUUAGGCAUGCAAGUCGAACGGUGUUAGAUUUUAUCGCAAGAUAAAGUUUAAUAUAGUGGCGAAAGGGUGAGUAACACGUGAGUAAUCUACCCUAAGAAUUGGGAUAACCUGUCGAAAGACGGGCUAAUACCGAAUAAGACCACGUCCCCGUCAGGGGAUGAGGUCAAAGAUGGGGACCGUAAGGCCCAUCGUCUUUGGAGGAGCUCGCGGCCUAUCAGCUAGUUGGUGAGGUAAUGGCUCACCAAGGCUAUGACGGGUAGCUGGCCUGAGAGGGUGGUCAGCCACAUCGGGACUGAGACACUGCCCGGACUCCUACGGGAGGCUGCAGUCGAGAAUCUUUCGCAAUGGGGGAAACCCUGACGAAGGGACGCCGCGUGCAGGAUGAAGGCCUUCGGGUUGUAAACUGC